CCCCCCCCCCCCCCCCCGCCCCCUUUUCCCUCCCUUUCCUCCCUGCCCGCAGCCGGGACCGGAGCCUCCUCAGCGUACCCCCGAUGCCUGCGCAGCCCCCUGCCGCAAUAAGCCCCAAAUUUGGAAUGUAAGUUUGGGAUAGGAACUGGGAUAGAGACACCUGCUCAAAGCUGUGCCAUCUGCUUGCAAGGCAGCUGUCCCUACCUGCACCAGCACAGCUCUGGCACUCUAGGAAGCAUUUCCAUGUCUGUACCCCUUGUCUGAGUCCACUCCUGGUCUGUGGGCCUCCACGAUGAAGCAAUCCUGGAUCCUUAACCCACUGCCUCCGACUUUCCCAGCCUGCUGCCUCGGUUCUCCUCUCACAGCUGUAGGGAUUUCAGCUUUUCAAAGUCCGGUUUGAUUCAGUCUGUCAACACAGGAACUUAUAUUUGGCAUAAAAUCUUGUUGGGACCACAAAGUUAUAAUUUUAUAGUUAAAUACAUCAUGUUUUUCUGGGAAAACUUAAAGGCAGUGGAUAAUGGAGGCAGAUUAGGAUUUGGCAGUUUAUCAGACUCUCAAGGAAACUCUCCCUGAGUAAAUGCUCUUUCAGUGGGAAUAUUUACGGUUCAGGAAGCAACACUUAAAAUUUUCCUUGCCAUGAAAGAAUUCUGCACAAUCCCAUAGAAGAAGGUGGCGAGUUACCCCAAAGACGACUACCCUGGUUACUACCUGUAACGAUGCAUCCCUCUUCCAUGAAACAGGCAGGCGUAAGAAAAUACCUCUGACAGGGAAUGACUCUUUGAGAGCAGGACAUAGACAUUUUAGUUAUAGGGAGCAGAAGACUAACAGACAUGAAUACAAAUUUGCAGUGGAUAAAACACUUAUCCUGGUGCAUUUUGAAGAAAAUCUGUUCCUGUUUUGUUAGCAUGUCCUAGAGAUGACUUCUUUUCAGAGAAUUACCUUUCACCAUUUUAGAUUUCAGAGAAGUACGAUUCCCAGAAGUUCAGGGAUUCUUUUCACUGAACUGACUUUGAAGAAAAGAUCUGUUUCAUUCUGUGCCUAGCCUCUUCCCUUUCUGUCUCCCCUUAUCAUGUUUGAGAAGCCAGUACCACCAGUGGCAUCCACCCUGCAGGCUCCGUGCCCCUGCCAGCCCUGCAGACGGUGGGCAGGAGCAAAGCUCCUUGCAGGGACUGGGCACAAACUUGCUUUAAAUAUUACUGAAAAAUCCUAAUCUGAAUCUCGGUACCAGAUACCCAUUCAUUUAUUAAAAGCAAAUACAGCAGACAACUAAUGGUGCGCUUUUUCUAUUAUUCAAACCUGCUGCUAACAAUGAAGAAGAUGAUGUCAUUCCCUGGAUGUGACAAAGGACUAAUAUUAUAUGCAGUAAAAACAAUGAGUCAACAGUUUCUAUGCCCUUGAGGUCAAAGCAUUCAACAGCUUGGAAAGUAGACUGUUCUUUUUGUGCACAGAACUUGUAGUUGUAUAUUAAUACAAAAUUUUUUAAAAGCAAGAUAUAAUUAAAAAAAACACCCAUACUUUUUCAGUUUCAAACAGGAUUUUUCAAAUUAAAAGUCCAAUGGACAUAUCUUAUAAUAUAAAGUAACCGAUACAAAUUUUGCCCAGAUAUUUCAAGCAUAAUAUUGCAAACCACUUUUUUUUUUUUUUUGGUCAAAAAUACGUCAUCAUCUAUGUUAAGUUAUCGUUUGUGUGAUCUUGAGAGGCACUUUGCAAUUCCCAGUAACAUUAGUAAGAGCUGUGAGUAUUAAUACAGCAACUAAAUAAUACGAAAUGUUCCGGAGCUAUUUUGUAAUGGUCUGAAAGAUAAGAAAGACCUUUAACAUGGAAUUGUGGUUUGAGAGACAACUGAAAGCAAGGAGUCUAAGAACCAAAGUUUCCCAGAUUUUCUGGGAUACACGAGGUAUGGACCAAAACCUGGCCCUCUAACCACAGCUGCACCUCGCUCAGGCGAGUGCAAGAGACACCUAGUGCCGACACAGAUCCUUUCUUCAGUCAACCUAAAUCAUUAUAGAGGAUUAUUAUCUUCCUCAUACAGACAGUGAAACCAAAGCACAGAGAAGUGACAGCUCAAGGUCAUUUAAAAGUCAGGAGAGUUUGGAAAAGAACCCAGAUUUCUCAAUCCCUGCCCAGCGCUCUGCCCACUGGGCUUCGCUGCCUCACCGAGAAUCGGCUUGAUACGGCUCCUUUGUGAAACCAGACCUGAUUUAACAACUUCCCAAAGUUUUCAAUGCAUCAUAUGGUUGUCUAUAACAAUUUUAUUUUGUGGAAAAAACAGGCUUGUCUGAUUAGAUCGGGCUGCUGACACACGACCAAGUGCAAGGGAAUCCUAGGCCAGUUGCAGUCACUGUUCCUGUUGUCCUUGCAGAGCACAUUCAGGGACAGGAGAGCACACUGGAUUGUACCUAGAUGGGCUUCUGUGUGGGACGAAAUAUCAUUUUGCCUGCGCCAAUACUAGCUGACAGUGUUUUGCCUUAAAAUGAGCCUUAGUGUGGAAUAAACAAUAUUCAGCAUCCUGACCAUUAAUUGAAAUUAAACCUCAGGCUCUGAAUCCCAAGGAAUUUCUUCUGGCACGCUGACAAAGGCUAUGCAAAGUUUUCUCGGUAUAUGCUGACCUCUUUAUUGUGUCACCUACAAAAACGGGUUCAGGCAUAACUGGUACAGUAGUUCCCAGGCCCAGGUGAUUACUUACCCAAAGUAUGGAAGAGCACAUCUGGCAGGGCCGCUGGUCAGCAUCCUGGCAGCUUUGUUAAAGAGCUAAGUGCAAGAGGCAUGGCUCAGUUUGAUCUUUAAACUCUGUGUCUUCUAAUGCAAGAAACUCUUAUCUUUUAGACGUGUAAACAUUUAAACCCUAAAGGUAUCCCAGGUGUUUCAGAGUUCAAGCAAGACGAGGAAGGUUCUGUGUUGUCCAACAGCCACGAGGGCUGCAGGGCUCCACGCAGCUCCUUGCAAGCGACAGAACUCACGGGAUUUUAACAAGGAGGACGUGCUAGGGCACUUCAGUUGAAACAUACACAUUUCCACGGAAAAUUCAGUGACAAGUUGCUCUUAUAAACUGAAACAAAAUCAGACAAAUUUGAGACAAGGCAAAAUGAAGAGACUAAAGGAACUUACAGAACGUCCUCUGGAUAACUCGAGCUAAUUACAAAUCGUAUGGCUUGUAGGGCCGGGUAUUUUCAUUUCCAUUGCAAUUGACCCUCCAUAGUCUUCAUUAAGGAAGGACACAAUGAUUUUGAUGUUGUGUAAGAGUGAUGAAACAUAUGUGAAAUUGACAGACGUUAGAACCCCUUUUUGAAGUCACGAGCUAUUUCUGCAGGCAGCAUCUCUCACUGCUUAAUGAAAGCCAGCGCCUGAACGCACUGCAGAGUCACGCGUGCUGCAGCCACGUUAGGUGUGGUGUUCCACAGAACACAUGUGUUUGUUCCUUUCCCAUGACUCACACAAAUGCAAAUAAAGUUAUUAUUGGUCUAUUUAAUAAAUAGACCUAUGAAGAAAAAAGUGAAACGUGGCUCAUAUCUUACGGUGCUCCCAGAAGGGAUCUUUUCCUGACCUUUGCUUUUAAAGCCCUGAUCCCAGCAACACACUUUGAAAACUUGCAUAACAUUAAGUAUUCCAAGUACUAUUGAAGCUGCUCCUUUGUUAAACAGGAUAUUACAAGUUUAAACCAGAGACAGGGAUUCCUACUCAGGAAAAUACUGAAGGUCGUAUUUAAAAUUAAGCAUAUCUUCAUAUUAUCUUGCAAAUGAAAGCUUACCUAAGCAGGUGACACUUCCAAAAGAAUACUAUAAUGAGCCCCCCCAAACGCAAAGCCAUAUUAAUAUUAACUUAGAGGCAUCAACCACACUGUUAUAUCAAAAUUUUGCUAAUACGAGAUCUGACAAAACUGAAGUUCUGUUCAGCAUUAGUUUGACUGUCAGCACAAAAAUUUCAAACUAGUAGCAUUUAUAAAUUCAUAAAGACAAAUGUACUCUGAAUGUUAAAUAAUCUAGAUAGGAAAUGACAAAAAGCUGUUAAUGAAAUUGUGCAGCAUCAUUAGGCUUUGGGCUGCUUCGCGUAUGUGCUCACCACGUCGCCAUUAGACCUGUUAGUAGGUCAAUCCUUUAUUAUUUGUUGCAGCGUCUGUUUAGAACCUCACUCAUAACUAUCAUUUCGACAAAUCGAUUUAAAAAACAGUUUACACAGUAUAGCAUGAUAUUAUUGACCUGUAACAGUAUUGCAAGCUCCAGGAUUAUGAACAGGAAAAGUAUCAAAUAGCAUCAGCUCUAAUUCUGAUUUUAUCCCGCGAUACAAUUGACAUCAGCCGCAGUAUGGAUAUAGGUUUAGCUAUGGCCCAGAGGUUUAUAUUUUUGGGGUGUAUUAAUUUGUUUCACAGUUUUACUGUUACUUUCCUCCUGUAUUAAUACAGGCAAGAAUGUUUCAUAAUAUUAAAAACCACAUCCCUGUUUAGCUGGAAGGCCUUUUGAAAGAACAUCAUAUGCUGUCCUUUAUUCCAUAAAGUUAAUCUUUGUCUUACUUUUCUCUUCCUUGGUAAUUUUCUAUUGUUGGUAGGAACAAGAGGGAAACUUUAGACCAAGUUUAAUCUAUUUUCCUAUGUGAAACAAAGUAAGAAGUAGGCAUAGCAUGCAUAAUAUCAAUGUUUUGUCAGUUAAAUGUUGUCUGUGGAGAAGGGGUUGGCAUAGCAAUUCCAAUGGAUCCUCCUUCCCUCUUCUGGACACAUCCAUACCCACUUCCAGGAGGGAACUUGGGAGAUCCCUGGUUUGAUCAGUAUUUUUCCUAACUGCAUGGUCAGGUCUGAAGCCUAUGCUGUUAAAGAGAAAUGGCGCGAGAGGCUCUGAGAGGGCCCCAACGUACGCCACCUCUGAUGACCCCAAAUCCCGCAUCCCGGGAGCAGCAGCAGGAGCAGAUGCCUUUUUUCCAGUCAAGGCUGGAGCCAAUCUGUUCCUGAAUGGCAAGACAGGGUUGGGGGUGUUGGGUGGAGAACAGGCCUGUUCCCGAAUCCUAAUACUAGACCAGCAAGCACAGAGGGACUCAGGUAAAUGGGAAUGGUGGGUAGGCUUUCCUAGCGAGCCGAAGGAACAGGGCAGGAUUUUAGAUGGGAUAAUUUUCCUGCGGAAUACAUCAUCUGCCCGAUCAGUUAGAAUUAUUACCCAAGCAGAGCAUUCUACAUAGCUAGAAAGUUAUUACUCAUUCUCAAUAACAGAAACCCCGCACUGUGGUUUCAGUGACACACUGACAAUUUAUUUUGAUCUUUCGUGUAUUUUUAGAUGGAGCUGUACUGUCUCCUUCCUGACCAUGGAUCAGAGUCCAUACUGAAAAAAAAUAUUUUUAAAGCGAUUAAGAAUAAAAGUUCAUGUGAAUUUACUUGUAAAGGCUGGCUAUGGCCUCCUGUAAUGAAUUGGCUUUUUUCCCCAGAAGUCUUGCUCAGUACUAAUUAGGAAAUUGCCUACUUUCUUUUGUAAAUGCUGUAUUCUGUCUGAGUUUUUUGACAAGAAUAAAAUACUGCCUUUUAAACAGGGGUGGAUGUUAUCACUUCAAACGUGCUUAUAUGUAUUUCCUGCGCUUAGAUACAGCCUAGCAAUAACAAUACCACAAUUACCAGAACGUAUAAUCUAUAGUGCAGCCCUGUGUAAAUCAACACAUAGCUGAAGGAGUCGCACACAUCCUGCAGGAUACCACUGCCGUUCUUGAUUGUUUCCGGUUAACGCUGUGCAUCUGCAGGAUGAUUUCUGAGAUGUGUGCUCAGGCUGACUCCUUAUUUUGACUACUGGAAGUAACCUCCUUCUAAUAUUUAAUGGGACCUAAAUAUAGAUUUAGGUAUAGACAUAGAGCUGAAGCAUAUUUUGUUCACGGUUGACUAUAUGGGAAACCACAAAACCAGACUUAAGAGGAAAAACGGUUUUGAUGUUUUAAAAAUGCUCAGGGAUUUCCAACAAGAAUGCAAAAUCAUUGUAAACAUUGCAAGGGCAAAUGUUCAGAAUUUCAGUUUGGUUGUUAAAUUACUAAAAUAAUGCAUACCUGGGUUUUACACACGGUGGAAACUUAAAUGUAUCAUCUGAGAUGUUCUGCCAUUCCCUUUAGAAUUAAGCAUCGUUUCUUCUUUAUGUAAAAUAUCUGAAAAAUGCAGACUUUUGAAAGUAAUUUUAUGAAGUCAAAGAAAGAGCUUAGUCCAAACUAAAACAGAACUACAUAAUUGUAAUUGCAACACACACUGCAGCCAUACACUGAGAACUAUCUUACAGGAAUACUCUGACCAAAUGCCACUGUCACGAUUCAGUUAGUCCAAACUAACUACCUGGACUGACUGGCUCAGAAAUUAAAUCUAGUUGACCUGUUCAGUGACUUCGUACUUUUAGCUAGUUCUCUGACUUUUCCAAACAGAUGUUCAAACUGCUGCAAAGUUUUAAAAUACUGUAAACCACUUCAAAAUAUAAUUUUAAAAUAUGAUCCUUUAAAAAAAAAAAAAAAAAAAAGUGGUGGCAGUUGUGUUAUUUGACAGCUUCCAGAAUUGGACUCCAUAAACUUCUGACUCUCGUUCUGCUUUAGAGCUGGGACUCAGACCAUCUUUCAUGGGUAUUUAUACUUUCCACUGAGUCUCUUACAAGCCACUAGAAUUUCAGUAUGUUUUAAAAUAAUAACGUAGCAAUUUAGAGAAAAUAUGUUAUGCAAACCCUGUUAUUUUUCUCUUUCUGAUACAGGUCUACCAUACCAAACAGAUUGCAGCAGGAAGCAACAGUCAACACAGUGCUUUUAAAUUAUCCCUUUUUCUUGCUGCUUUUGGUACAAAAUAACAUGAUGAGUAAAUGACUAUCUCUUGCAGAAGCUCAUAGGGUGCUUCAGCUCUUCUGGGACACGUAAGUCUGCUACAAAAGAGUGUAGCCGUUCAGAUCCACACGAAGAACUUCUUCCUGUGAAACUUACUGACUUUUCUGUACUGGGUGGUUAAUUCCUGUGCUUGUUUUACAUUCCCUGUUAUUGCCUUUUAUUUUCUCUAGUCUGCCUUGUGUAGAAAGAUGCUCAGAAAGUUGCUCCCCUGUCCUAAAUGCAGUUUGGUAUGGCUGCUUUUCUAACCAUGAUUGAAGAAAAAAAGACUACUACUACUACUACUAAAUUUUACCUGUAUAUACCAAUCCAGCUGUUUUCAUACCAGGUCCCUCUGUGCACUUUGUACCCCUCUGGAAUUAAUAGUCAACUGUACAUUAUCAUAUGGCAGGGUAAUAGUGAAGCUGGCUAUCCCUGCAGGCAGGAAAAGGCUCUGAAAAUCAGGCUGCAAUGUGCCACAGCCACCCUAGGGUGACUGCGUGGAAGCUGGCUUUGUUAAAGCUGGGGAUGAACUAUUCUGCUUGCCUGGAUGCAGGCGGACUCCUGUGGUACUGCUGCAAGGACUGGGCGUACAUCUCCUUGUGCUCCCCGUGAGAAAACACAUCGGUGGGGCACGGCCUCUGCACUGGUAGCUCUGCUAGGACAUGCGCAGCUCUGCUGGCCUGAAGUGUUUACAGAUCCAGUUCUACACUCUUCCUCAGCCCGUCUGCUUAACCCUGAGCCGCCUCUUCAUCUCUGAGCACGGUUUUGGACUGUCACAGGUGUGGGGUGGUGCUCCCACGCAGACAGCAGGCAGACACAGGAGCGAUUUAAAAAAAACAAGCUUGCAAACCUGUGAUGUCCUUAUACAUGCAGAUGAUAUCAUGCUUCUAAAAUAAUUAUUAAUUCAUUAAUGAUGCAGAUACGUUAGUUAUAAAGGGCAGGCAGAAUUAUCAAAUCAUAUUUGUCUUAUUUAUUGCUAACUUUUUAGCUGUGGCACCACCUUGUGGACAUUACUACAUGGAAUGAAAAGGUGGCUGGUGGCAACAAAAGCAGCUGGAACAGAGCACGCAUUUUUGAAAAACGACAAUUAUAUUCACACAUGAUUUGCUAAAGCAGCAUAAAAUAACUAAAUUAAAAACCGAUUCCUAAAAAUCCCCUCAUGAAACAAAAUGUAUAAUAAAUACUGUCAUCAGUGCAGUUUUUACCAGCUCUUCUGAGCAUCGGCCAAGAAGUGCGGUAGCCUUCAAAACUAUUUUUGUUCCUUCUUGAUUGAUUAACUAGCAGCAUCUGAACCCCAGUCCUGCUGUUGCUGUGCAAACAGACACGACUUGUGCACGUAUCCUAAGCAACACGGCUUGCAAAAUCAGAACCAUACUACUGAACACAUGGAGAAAACCUUAGGUCCUACUCCAUAAAUGUAAACUCAACAGUGAGAUUAGUGUCCAAGCUAAGCCGCAAGGAAAAUAAUCUCCGACAGAGAUGAACUGGUGGAUCUUUUAAAUGCUUGCUGAAAAACAAAACGAAACAAAAAACAUAUUUAAAUUCCACUCUGUUGACAUUAGAUUCCCAGAACCUUUCACAAUGGAGUAACAGGGUGUUACUGUUCGGAGUACUCCAUCUGCUACAUGGGCGAAUCAGUAAAGCACAGAGGAGUCAGAAUUUUAAAGAGGAGAUCUCCAGGUUGUGUACAGCCUAUAUCCAGCCUGCAUGUGCUUAUCUGUAUUCCCAAGGUAUUAAGCUUGGGAAGCAUAAUUAAACAUUGAAUUGCGUUUUCUAUUUCAACCUCUUCAAAAAGUAACUGCAUGCAACUUGUUAUUUACGUAUCUACAUUUACUAAGCAUAAAGGGAAGGUGGAGGAGAAGACAAAGACUUGGACCAAGUUUCUCCCCUCCUGGAUCGUCAACAGACUGUGCUGAACUCUGCCUGGAGAUCUCAUGUGCAUAAACCCUGGUGGAGAAGAGCAGCUUCUGUGUCUCCGGCAUAGUACUGGGGCACAGACCCCUCAUUUCAUGUCUCUUCUUCAAAUAUGUGCCUUCACAAGCCAAACACUUCAGGCCCUUGGACUAACAGUGACCAUACCACAGUCCCUUCCCAAAGUCUCCUUAGGAGUAUAUGAAAGUUCACCCACUGGAGCAUUUCCAUUUCUAGUUUAACUCUCUGACAAAUAUGUAACUAUUAAAGCAAGGCACGGAAACCCUGCAGCCUUCAGCUGAGAAAACAUCUAGCUGUCUCGGUUGAGUAUUUUUUCUUUGUUAGACAGUAUCUCUUUUGAAAUGAAGUUUGCACAAGUUUCUUUCUUCUUACCUUUCCUGGAUUUGUGUGCAUUCACAAACUGUUCCCAAUUCAUCAUCACAGUGAUAGGAAUAACCAGUAAAUCAAGUUUUUGAUUUGGCAGCCUCCGAAGCUGCUCCACAAGUGUCCACUGCUGUUGCGCCAUUUCUAACUGGAGUGUUACAGCAAACAUCACAGUUCAUUAAAUUGAAUGAAAUUAAUAAACACAGGUAGUUAAAAAACUUACAGGGAUGCCUGCCGAACAUCUAAGGUAGCUUUUAGAAGAAGUGGUCUAGUGUUGAGAAGACCAAACCACUCUGGGAAGAAGCCAAGCACAGAACGUCUCAGCCUAGCCACAAUGACAUCCUGAGCACCGCCAGCCAGGGAAGAGAACUCGUCUCCAACGGAGUCUGCGGAUCCUGCCCUAAGCCGGGGCUUACUGGGUCUUGGUGACACGUUACUCGCACGCAUUGCACAAUAUAGUACAUAGUUCUCAAUUCUUACAGUUUCGUAUCUUCAGUAAAGGAGGUAAAUAACCACUGCUGCCACCCACUGCUGCAUAGUCUCGGCAGAAGGGGGAUGAGGAGUACAGACAGCCAAGGCAUUGGUGUGGCCUCUGAAGACUUCUAGCUGAAAAUAAUCUGAUUUACAGGUUUUGAACCGAGAAAGAAACCUAGAUGACAAUGAAAUUCAGAGUCAAAUCUACUCUUUGUUAAAUAACCACUUCCCAUAAUAAUGUUCAUGGUCAGAGAAGUUACCAGCUGAAAACUGAAGACUGAAGGAGAUGACAGGUAUAGAGUUAAAAUAGCUAAAGCAACCUCCGAGGUAGUCCAUUCCAUAAUAAUGUCACC